rnacentral:rRNA from 1 species
GAUGAACGCUAGCGGGAGGCUUAACACAUGCAAGUCGAGGGGCAGCAUAGGGUAGCAAUAACUCUGAUGGCGACCGGCAAACGGGUGAGUAACGCGUAUGUAACCUACCUGUACAGGGGGAUAACCCGGAGAAAUUCGGACUAAUAUCCCAUAACAAUAUCCGGGGGCAUCUUUGGAUAUUUAAAGUUCCGGCGGUACGGGAUGGGCAUGCGUAACAUUAGCUAGUUGGUAAGGUAACGGCUUACCAAGGCUUUGAUGUUUAGGGGUCCUGAGAGGGUGGUCCCCCACACUGGUACUGAGACACGGACCAGACUCCUACGGGAGGCAGCAGUGAGGAAUAUUGGUCAAUGGGCGCAAGCCUGAACCAGCCAUCCCGCGUGCAGGAAGACGGCGCUAUGCGUUGUAAACUGCUUUUCCAGGGAGAGAAACUUGCGCACGUGUUGCGCAAUUGACGGUACCCUGGGAAUAAGCAUCGGCUAACUCCGUG